CGUUUGUUGCUACAUUUCGUGGACACCUUUAGUUGUAUGCUGGUUUUUGUUUUAUUAUUAAACAUCCUUUUUUUUAUCCCCUUUGCAUUUGGGUCCAGUUCCUGCUCAACCCUGACACAGAUGGGAGACUGAGCAAUGAGGCACUUUUUACAUGGAAACGCAAUGCUACCAAACUGGCCUGGGAGGUUAGGGAAUAGGAGCACGUGCGGUGCUCUCGUCCAUUACACCAGUGGACGUGAUCGAAGCAGCAUCGUGUCCGUGUGAUAUUUUCUAUUUUCCCCUCUACAGGGGCAUAACAUUUGGAGGCACCGCUUUGAUUGUGUGCAGCGUGGUUCAGCGUCUACAAGAUAUGUCGCCAGGCAUCACAUCCCUUUUAAUCAACCAAGACCAUCGGGAGCAGGUGUCAGAUCACCAAAAGUUGGAUCCCGACCGUCUUUGGUGCAGCUGGCAUGUGAUCUGAGGUAUUUCUAAAUACCAGGAGAGCUGCCACUACCACCUAAAGAGUGAAGAGUACCACGUCACUGCUAGUUCUCACCUUCUACUGGAAAGAUGGAGUCGACUAAGUUAGAGAAAUUACAGCUUGAAGUAAUAAGAGAGCUGUGUCUGCUGCCCAGAGAAAGUUUGGUGGAGCUAUGUGACUAUCUAAUCAUCGCUGGAACAGAGUUCGAGUAUAUGACUGACAAGGGCCGAACGGCUCUCAUCACAUUAAUUUCCAACCACAUUCAGAGAGGAGAGCUAGAGAAGCUUGAGGAUAAAGGCAUGUCUGAAUUACUCCAUCUUCAAGACAAAAUUUCUGAGCUCCAGGUAACUUGGGAGGCUGACACACUGAGACAAGUAAAGGAGCAACAGAAAAGACAAGAUGGAGAGGAGGAAAGAAUAUUGGAGGAAAUUGAGGCCUUGCAGCUUCAGUUGGCAAGCACACGGAAGAAGAACGAGAAUGAAGAAAGCAGGAUAAACGAGAAAUUAGAAGCAAAGCCCUCACCACAUAGCCUCCGCAGAGUACAGUCCAAAGUCCUGCGCCUCACCCAUGGCACAAAGACUUUAAAAACGCUGGCCAAAUUGGUGAGCCCGGUCAGAAAGACAAGCUGACUUUUUCAAGCCUAGUAUGACAAAUUGAAACUGGCUUAAGCAAUGGGCUCCCCGAACUUGAGAUUGUAGAUACAGUUAUCAGAGCAAUAUCCCCAGGCAUACAACUUCGAAGUUAUUUAGAGGGCAAAGCCAACUUGACCUUACCGACAUUGAGAUGAAUACUCCGUUGUCACUAUCAAGAGAAAAGUGCUACAGACCUUUAUAAGCAGCUGACCUCAGAGGUGCAGGGUAUCAAAGAAACCCCACAGAACUUCCUCAUUCGCACUUUUGACUUGAGAUAAAAAAUUUUGUUUGUGUCGCAGGAAGCUGAAUCAGGUCGCCAAUAUGACCUUGGGUUAGUGCAAAAAAUGUUUCUUCAUAUUGUGUUAACUGGCCUACAGAAUAACAACAUCAGACGGGAUCUUCAGCCUUAUUUGGAGCAAGCUGACAUUUCUGAUGAACUGUUGCUUGAGCCAAAUGAACACCGCAUGUGCCUAUGAGACAGAGAGUGCAGAACAAGAAAAAGUUGUCAGGACAACAAAAGCCUGCCACUAUCCACUCAGUCCGGUCGAACGAUCGUCAACUCAACAAAAGUCCAUCAGAGUGGAGCUGGAGAUUAUUGCACACACUGUUAUAAGUGUGGCAGCAGUGAGCACUUCCUGGCUGGCUGUCGAGCAAGAGAGCAGAGACAGUUUAGGGGCGAGCCUUUAAAUGGGGGAAGGUCACUCGCACGGGACGGGGAGGGACUGAUAAUGAAGCGGGGUCCCAGCAAUGUGAACGUUGUAAAAAAGGGGGUAAAGGGACAAUGAUGAAGCAAUGUGCAUCUUGUAAUAAAGUUGUUUACUGCUCUAGGCCAUGUCAAAUUGAUAAUUGGGCUGAACACAAAAAACAUUGUGAACCUCCCUCACGUAUGACCACGAACAGUAACCUAAAAAGAGGAAAAAGGGCACCAUUGGUAGGGGAAAAGCACAUUGUUGAUUGCUUCAUUCAAGAUCAAAGGGUUCAGGCUUUGUGGGACUCAGGUUCCCAAGUGACCAUAAUUGAUGAGCUAUGGAAAGAAGCACACCUACCAAACGUGAGAUUAAGAGACAUUGUAGAAAUUCUUGACAUAACCCCAAAUUUUGACAUAAAGGCAGCUAAUGGGGAGAGCAUGCCAUACACAGGUUGGGUUGAGGCAACUUUCAGAUUAGCUUCAGGGGCUGCAUCCAAUACUGAAGUUGUUGUCCCCAUACUUGUAAUGAAGGGUGGCCACCUGGUUCAACCAAUCAUUGGGUCUAAUGUAAUCCAGAUCAUUAUAGCACAGGCUUUUGCAGAACAAGUAACUGCUGUUGUAGAGCAAGUCAGUACAGAGCAGGUGGAUGAGUAUGUUUUCAAGACAAAAAGGGAGAGGAUCAACAUACCGAAACACACAUCAGUCAGAGUUGAGUGCCACGUAAGCAUGGACUCCUCACAUGAAGAUAAAACAGUGUGCACAAUCCUAUGGACCAUGAUAUAGUGUUAGCAGGGAGAAUUGUAAUCGGGACUGUCCAGCAAUUACAGGCAGUCUAUCCCGCUUCCAUACUCGAGGGGUCCCGCCCUCCACCUCCAGCUACAGCAAAUCACAUCAAAGCUGAAAAGGAUCAAACUACUGGCAAUGUUUGGGAUCCACCUGUGGACCUGAGCCAUCUCAUUGAGCCAGAACGAGAGAUGUUCACAAGAUGUUAAGAGAGGAGUGUGCCUCUUUUUCAAGAACAGAUGACGAUAUUGGUUGCAUUGGUUCGCCUUUUACUGCUUGGUUUCAACGAAGGGGUGAUGUGUAUUUUACUUUUCCCCAUGGCCAAAGUGGAGUCUUGCUUCGGGAAGAAUCCCUUACACUUUCCCAGCAGUGUAAACAACACACAGGAACUUCACCUUUGUCUUGAAAUGCUCCUGUUUAAACAGGUUUUAUCUUUUCUCAAUCUGCUUCCUUCUA